CAGGUUACAGGUGACACACAGAAAUGAAAUGUGUGGGCUCUGUGCAGGAAGGAGAUCUGUUCUGGCUCUCCUGGUGAGUGGUCUGAACUGCUGGGCUGAGUUAGGAGUAGCCCAUGUCUCUAUGCUGUAUGGCACAGAAAAUAAACAUUUGGAGUAGCUGCUGGAAACUCCUGAUUUUGGCCAGGAUCCCAUAGAUAAUGUACAGACACAGCCCAAAGACUGACUUCUCUCUCAGGACACAAAGAAUAUACACUGACCUGGUCUGGAUUGCA
rnacentral:lncRNA from 12 species